AAAAGCGGCAAAAAGAUUCCAACCACUCUACAGUGUUGGUGUUUCAUUCCAUCGCUAGCAGUCUCCCAAGUGAGCCAGGCUGGUGAGCCAGGCAGAACUCUGGACUGGAGUGAAGAAAUCCUGAGGCAGGAGCUGCUUGAUCUGCAAGCGACGAGGCCACUGUGGCCAGAGAGGGCGAAAACAAGGUCCUCAGGGCUUUGGAGAAAGGAGAAGAAAACCAAAGCAUUUGGAGCAUCAGUGUGGCUGGACCAAGCUUCUCAUAGCCUCCAGGGAAGGCCCACUGCUUGCGGGGAAGUCCCGCUCAGAGACAUGCACUGAGCCAGCUCGCCAGGUUCUUCUGUCCAUGGGAUAGUCCAGACAAGAAUACUGGAGUGGAUUGCCGUGCCCUCCUCCAGGAGAUCUUCCUGACACGGGGAUCGAAGCCACUUCGUUUAUGUCUCCUACACUGGCAGUGUUAUCAUCACCAUCCUCUCUGUUGAAUCUAUUUGAGCAGACAUAGCUCUAAGAAGAGAAUAAUGUGGAAGAAUAUUUGAAGCAAGCAAAGCAGCAAAUCUUGGAAAAUCAGCCACUGCAACAGUGUUAUCGUCCCCCUUUCAUGAAACGGUCUAGGUAACAAAGAAAGAAGGAGUAGGGAACCACAGGAGAUUGCUGGAGAAGGUACAGUAAGGCUUGACACCUCCAUGAAGAGCACACCAAGCCCGUCAGAAGCUUCUCAAAGGGCUGAAGGUGGACACUGCGGCGUACUUGGCAGUCAAAUCCCAUUAGGCUUACCUGCAGGAUGAGUGGAGACCUAAUCUCUGCAAACCAUAGAGUAGGCACCACACCAGCACGGGUUGCGUCCAUCUUCUGACCUCAAUUUGAAUGCUGGGUUAAUUUUAGCAUCCGACAAAUCCAAGAUGGCUCUCUGAUC
ensembl:lncRNA